GGGGGGGGGGGGGGGGGGGGGGGGGGGGGGGGGGGGGGGGGGGGGGACGGGGAGGGGGUGGGGCGGCGGGGGGCGGGGGGCGGGCGGGUGAGGAGUGGAUCGGAAGCCUCUCGUUCGGGGGGGACAUCGUGGGGACAGAGAUGCUAGCACAGCAUACGACCUACGGGGGGAUGCAGGGGAGGUGUGGGCCUUGCGCGUUUGUAUUAGACGGAGGCGGAUUUGCUAGUUGGCGGGGUAAAGGCCCACCAAGGCGACGAUCCGUAGCUGGUCUGAGAGGAUGAUCAGCCACACUGGAACUGAGACACGGUCCAGACUCCUACGGGAGGCAGCAGUAGGGAAUCUUGGACAAUGGGCGAAAGCCUGAUCCAGCCAUGCCGCGUGGGUGAAGAAGGCCUUCGGGUUGUAAAGCCCUUUUGUUGGGAAAGAAAAGCAGCAGGUUAAUACCCCGCUAUUCUGACGGUACCCAAAGAAUAAGCACCGGCUAACUUCGUG
rnacentral:rRNA from 1 species